GGAGGAUCUGGGGCGGUGGGGUGAGUAAGGUCGAGAGGGCAGAGAGCGGGGCAACGGAUGGAGACGGGUGAGUGGGUAACACUGGGGAGGGGUCAGUUGAGGUGGAGAGGGGACGAGAGGCAAGCAUAGGUAAAGGUGGCGGGGGACAGGGAGGCGGAGGAAUGUCAUUUAACGUAAAGGAUGUUACUGUAAACAUACGAUUUGUAACUAGCAAGAUUCUAUUAAGUAAAGAUACAAUGUUUA